rnacentral:lncRNA from 1 species
GAAAAUCAUGCAUUGAUGCUUUCCUAAAGCUGGGAAUGUUAACAUAAGGCACUCCUCAUUUCUGAGUGUCCUGCCCAUUCCCACCUCCAGAACCUGACAAAUCUACUUACCAGCAUGUCAAGUCACUUCUCUUGAAGAAUAAACACCAGAAAGUAGGAGGCUCAAGAGUGACAGAAAUUUAGACCGAAAUUCAGAAACGGACAUCUAAAGUUAAUUACAGCCCUGUCAUUCACAGUUAUCACUUCAGCUUUCAUUUUUUCUAUCAAAACUAACAUAUGUCUCCUACUUUUUUCUCUGCGAGAUUAAUGUCCUCUUAUUCUUAGUUUUAAAUUUCUCUGAGUAUCAGUCCAUGGUCACUUUUUGGAAAAUAAUCUUAAACAUGAAAUCUUGAAAUGCAUUUUUGUUUGGCAAAUUUUAUAAUGAAAAAACAAAAUAUUGCUACAUGAAAGUCAUUAGUCUAUAUACUAUCUUUCUAAUACUGAUCUUGUAAUAUAAAUCCUAUA